AUACGGAGGGUGCAAGCGUUAUCCGGAAUCAUUGGGUUUAAAGGGUCCGUAGGCGGACUAUUAAGUCAGAGGUGAAAUCCCACAGCUCAACUGUGGAACGGCCUUUGAUACUGGUAGUCUUGAGUUAUAUGGAAGUAGAUAGAAUGUGUAGUGUAGCGGUGAAAUGCAUAGAUAUUACACAGAAUACCGAUUGCGAAGGCAGUCUACUACGUAUAUACUGACGCUAAGGGACGAAAGCGUGGGGAGCGAACAGGAUUAGAAACCCUAGUAGUCC
rnacentral:rRNA from 1 species